GAGAAGAACAGAUCACAUGACUGCUCAUCAUGUGACCAGCAGGAAGGCAGAGAGGAGGCGGGGCAGGCUACAGUGUUCAGCAGUGGAGUAUAAAAAGCUUCUGAAGAUGGAGGAGUCAUGGAGUGUGCAGGCAGGUUUUGUGGAGAUGAGUCAUGGCCGGGAGAAGUCAUCAUGAUGGUCUUGGCCACAAUGAGAAGAAAAGGAAAAGUGAGCUCCUCCGAUCAGAGAAGAUGCCUCCUGUGAUUGACUCAGAGAAGAUGCCCCCUAACUGAUAUCUCGCGAGAACCAUAUGUAUUUAGUAUGGU